GGCCACAUCACGUUGAAACACCAGUUCCCAUACGAUCACCGAAGUUAAGCAACGUCGAAACUUGUCAAUACCGGUACGGGUGACCGCUUGGGAAUGCCAUGUGCUGUAAG